AUAUUGCCAUCAUUUCUGAAAUUGUCGCAUGACAUCAAUGUAAGUACUAUUGGAGUGAUCACAUCAAACAUAAAUUAAAAAUAACUUCAAAGUUCAAAUUACCCCAAUUGACAGAUUCAUUUUUUCUUUUCCCCAUUUUUUUCUUUUGAAAACAAAACUUUCAUAUGAAAAAAAUAAGAGGGUGCACAAGGUUGCAAAAGCAAACAGAUGAAAAGAAGGGCCUCAACAUAUAUCCAAGACGCUGUACAACAACGAACAAGGGACAAAACCAGUUGAUGUUUAGAGUUUCGUUUCAAGUCAUUUUGUUCUGUUGUGGGCUUAUAUUUGAUUGUAUUUUCUUUACUUUCCUUGAUUAGGUCAGUUAUGUGCUAAAUUUAGUUGUAUUUGCCUUACCGGCUUAUUUUGUUUCAAAUGUAUUUUGCACAUUAGUAUCUUUUCAUUUCAUCAAUGAAAAACUGGUUUCCUUUCAGAAAAUAAUAAUAAACAAUAAUCAAUUCAGUCCACAAUUCAGGUUUUCUCCCAAAUAGAUUCCACGCCCACUCUCUAACAAAAGGUUUUCUUGGAUGCCAAAUCUGAAGGUGGGAUAAAUUACAGAUCAAAUCCAGAAUAGUUCAUUUCAUAUAGGCCUAAAGUUAUUGCUCUUGUAUUUGGAGUUAGAAAAUGAGCUCUGAUGGUUGCGUUUAGCAAAAACUACAUGUCAUGAAAACACUGCAGGAUGUAAUUUGAUGCCCAAUUAUGUUCCAAAUCCCAAUCACCUCUAUAUUAGAUAAGAAGACCCUAUUUUUCUUUAUCAAACGUUCUCCAAAUCCCAACGAGGAGAUACAGAAUCUAACCCAAGAUCCCAAUCCAACUAUUUCCAUCUCAAAGAGAAGCUAGCACAGGUUUAUCAAACGUUCUCCAGAUCCCAAUGCCCACUUCAAAUAUUUUACAAUGAAUUGAAAUUGAAUCUAACUUACUAAUGCAAUGACUUUAAUAUAUGUAAUUUAGGAGGGAAAGCAGAG
rnacentral:lncRNA from 1 species